rnacentral:rRNA from 1 species
AUUGAACGCUGGCGGCAGGCCUAACACAUGCAAGUCGAACGGUAACAGGAAGAAGCUUGCUUCUUUGCUGACGAGUGGCGGACGGGUGAGUAAUGUCUGGGAAACUGCCUGAUGGAGGGGGAUAACUACUGGAAACGGUAGCUAAUACCGCAUAACGUCGCAAGACCAAAGAGGGGGACCUUCGGGCCUCUUGCCAUCGGAUGUGCCCAGAUGGGAUUAGCUAGUAGGUGGGGUAACGGCUCACCUAGGCGACGAUCCCUAGCUGGUCUGAGAGGAUGACCAGCCAAACUGGAACUGAGACACGGUCCAGACUACUACGGGAGGCAGCAGUGGGGAAUAUUGCACAAUGGGCGCAAGCCUGAUGCAGCCAUGCCGCGUGUAUGAAGAAGGCCUUCGGGUUGUAAAGUACUUUCAGCGGGGAGGAAGGGAGUAAAGUUAAUACCUUUGCUCAUUGACGUUACCCGCAGAAGAAGCACCGGCUAACUCCGUG